GGGUGCGUGGCUCAGUGGUAGAGCGCGUUCCUGAUAAGAACGAGGUCCCAGGUUCGAUCCCUGGCGCACCCA
rfam:Candidatus Roizmanbacteria bacterium RIFCSPHIGHO2_01_FTLL_39_12c rifcsphigho2_01_scaffold_46518, whole genome shotgun sequence.